AAUCCUAUGUUUGUAAGGAUAGCAGGGGUGGUGCUGAAGGAACAGCUUGGGGGUGACACGAUGAUUGACCAUGAGCUGAUGUCUGUCAUUAUCCAUCGGUGUUGCCAGGCUGACCAGGAAGCCGAUGAAGAAUCACCCUACCUAACAUGGAGGCACCAACUUCAACCCGAUUUCUCGACAUUGGUGCUCACUACGGGGACAAGUUGAAGCUCCCCAUUACAAAGGUGAUUACCCGCUCGCCGCAGUCGCUGCAUGGGAUGAGCGGUUGUAUCUCCUUCCGUACGGUGACCGACAAUGAGGUAGAGAUGAAAGACUAAAGAUGGAAGACUAAUUGCCACAACGGAUAUGUUCGGAUUUGGAUUGGAUUAGUAGGGUGUGGAUAAGAUGAGCUGUGUUGGGAAGGUUGGUG